CAACAUUGUUUUUCUUACUGACUAAUGCAUUAACUGCUUUCUGAGGUCCUUGAGUGAGUGGGACUGCAGGGAAAUUUGAACUUCUAGAAUAAACCRAUCUCUGCAUCUGCAUCGUGGAUGGUCAAAGGGACAACUUCUAAAAUCUGAAGCGUGUUAGACUUUCACUGUCUGUGUUCUUGUGCAAUGAAGUGGGAGGUGCCAGACAAUAGGUGUCAGCACUGGUCCAGCUAUGCAAACCUGACUGCAAAUGUAGACCAAGACAGCCUGUGCUUAUGGUUAGUUUAAAAAAACCUGCUGGAGCAGAUCUUACCUGCAGUUCCUGGAAAUGGGCUUAGGCACAAGUUUGCUUUGGGCUAUCUUUCCAGAAAACUGAGUGUCCAUAAAUCAGUGCUGAGAUAAUGACUGACAGUUUCUUAUAAAAUAGUUCAUUAUGAUACAGAUCCUGAAGAUACAAGCUGGUUAAAGAUAAUUUACAUAUUGUGUUCGUAGUGACAGAUUGACACUGCUGAAGGAAAGUCUGCUCCUGGAAAUGGUAAUUUAAUUAGGUUUUGUUGCUUUGUGAGUUGGUUGGAGAUGUUAGUAGGAGAAGGAGUUAGAUGUAGUGCCUUUCCAGGCAUAUUUCAAGGAAAGCCUAAAACUAAUCAAAACUAGGAAGCCUGAUAUGCUGGAGAAGGCAGUCAACAUCUCAAAAAUCAAAAUGGAGCUGGCAGGAUUAGCUACAGCCCUAGGGAACUUCCGUGACACUUUGGAAUCGUGGAAAUUUGUGGAGGAAUUUUAACCAGGAACUAAGGGCUUGGAUGUCUCAUGAAAAUGGUGCAUGUCAGGAAUACAGUCUGUGGACAAUUCUGCAACGGCUCUGGACUACAAGCCAGGAAGAUUUAAACAGUGCGAGAUGUACGA